CCUACGGGUGGCAGCAGUGGGGAAUAUUGGGCAAUGGAGGCAACUCUUACCCAGCAAUGCCGCGUGAAUGAAGAAGGUCUUCGGAUUGUAAAGUUCUUUAAUUGGGGACGAAAAACAUGACGGUACCCAAGGAAUAAGCCCCGGCUAACUACGUGCCAGCAGCCGCGGUAAUACGUAGGGGGCAAGCGUUGUUCGGAAUGACUGGGCGUAAAGGGUGUGUAGGCGGGCCUUUAAGCCGGCGGUGAAAUCGCGGGGCUCAACCCCGCCGAGCCGUCGGAACUGGGGGCCUUGAGUGCGGCGGAGGCAUGCGGAAUGCGCGGUGUAGCGGUGAAAUGCAUAGAUAUCGCGCAGAACCCCGAUUGCGAAGGCAGCGUGCCGUGCCGCCACUGACGCUGAGGCACGAAAGCGCGGGGAUCGAACAGGAUUAGAUACCCCGGUAGUC
rnacentral:rRNA from 1 species